rnacentral:rRNA from 1 species
GACAGAGGGUGCAAACGUUGUUCGGAAUUACUGGGCGUAAAGCGCGUGUAGGCGGCCAUGCAAGUCGGGUGUGAAAUCCCACGGCUCAACCGUGGAAGUGCACUCGAAACUGCGUGGCUGGAGUUCUGGAGAGGAAGGCGGAAUACUUGGUGUAGAGGUGAAAUUCGUAGAUAUCAAGUGGAACACCGGUGGCGAAGGCGGCCUUCUGGACAGUAACUGACGCUGAGACGCGAAAGCGUGGGGAGCAAAC